rnacentral:rRNA from 1 species
CCUACGGGGGGCAGCAGUGGGGAAUUUUGGACAAUGGGCGCAAGCCUGAUCCAGCUAUUCCGCGUGUGGGAAGACGGCCUUCGGGUUGUAAACCACUUUUGUAGAGAACGAAAAGUCUAUUGAUAAUACCGAUAGAUGAUGACGGUACUCUAAGAAUAAGCACCGGCUAACUACGUGCCAGCAGCCGCGGUAAUACGUAGGGUGGGAGCGUUAAUCGGAAUUACUGGGCGAAAGGGAGUGCAGGCGGUUUUGCAAGAUGGAUGUGAAAGGCCCGGGCUUAACCUGGGAAAGCCAUACAUGACUGGAAGACUAGAGUGCAUCAGAGGGGGGUGGAAUUCCAAGUGUAGCAGUGAAAUGCGUAGAUAUUUGGAAGAACACCGAUGGCGAAGGCAGCCCCCUGGGACGCAACUGACGCUCAUACACGAAAGCGUGGGGAGCAAACAGGAUUAGAUACCCUAGUAGUC